CUACGCGCUUGAUGACGAGGCGAAGUACGUGCUUGCCGGGCGCGUCGGCUUCGGCUCGGUCUCGGGCGCGCGGC
rnacentral:tRNA from 1 species